rnacentral:sRNA from 1 species
UGUGUAGUAGGCGCUGGUAUAGGCAGAACUUAGGCACUAUUUGUUUUUCUUGUUAUAUGUUAGAUUUUCCGUGUCAGGUGUGGUUCAAAUUUCUUAGUCAAUAGCCUAGACUCAGUCUUUCUUUCUCCUCGUGGCUUUUGAAGCGGCAAGUUGUGGUUUCGGAAAAUUUCAGUGUGUCUCGUUCAAACCAAGAAUAAAUAUACCUAUAAAAUAGCCACUUUGUCCCAUACGGUUACAUACAUAUAUCUGUAUGUACCUGGAGAAAGAGAGACGAACUAUCAAAAAGAAAAAAAACUAAAACCAACCCCUCCCUCUAUCGGUGCGGUGCCUGUUCCAAAAAGUGAAUUGCAUAUUUCACAGAAUAGUAGCCACUUUACAUCGACUUAAUAGUACCAAAGUCAACAAGCUGCUCCCGGAGCUUUUAAGUUCAUUUAACCCCCCUGCCGUAGAUAUUGGUCUAUUAGAGCCUUCUGUUCUGGAAUAACUCUGUAAAAUGUUUUGGUAACGGCCUCCGCCUAGCCGUGCGAUAUAUGUGUCGUCGGUGUGACUUGUGUCUAAGUGUCACUGUGCUGCCAGCCUCCACCGAAAUAUAAUACGAUCUGAAAAUCUGAGCCAUGUCCAUUCCAACGGAAUCUAAGUAGGAUAGCGAGGAGGUCCGCAUAUAGUCAGAAAAUAGCCCGUUUGUUUGAAGCUCGAAAAUAAUGUAAAAUAAAAACAAAAAAAUUGAUAAAGCGACUCGGGGCUGAAGAGAAGCAAGUUUGAGAUCAAAAGUGUCCGACCAGUGAGCUAAUGUCAGCCAGCAUAAGCGGGUGAAGUAACUUUGUAGGUAAAC